rnacentral:lncRNA from 1 species
AGGCAGACUUGGCACUCUGAGUCUCUGAGGUUAGGGUUUCUAGUAAGCGCUGCCAGGCAAUGGGAUGAAGACUGAGGGCAGACAUUCCUGAACAGUGGAAGAGGAACAUGGAGCGGGCCCAGAAGUGAAGCGUUGCUUGAGAAGCAGAGCACCCUGCCUGUCCUUGUCCCUGUCCGAAGACAGUGCUCAUGACCUGCCGGCUAUUAGCCUCAGUGCAUGCAGUUUAUAACGAGAGAGAAAUGUAAUGGAAAAGGUACCUAAGAAGAUAAUUCACCCAGAUGAUGUUCUUCUCAUUUGCAUUCUUCGCAUUAAUAGCUAUGGUGGCACUAGACUGUAUCCAGAUGUAGCCUCCAUUCUUCUGCAUCCAGCGGUAGUACUUGGUCACACACUGACCCUUAUUCAGCACUGGGGUAGGGUAAAGAGAGAUAAAACAAAACAGAAGGUGUAGUAUUAAGAUGGGGCAUAGAACGGUUUUCAUUUCUGCCCAACCUGAGACCAAAGCUUGGGGAGCCCAGCGUAUGCCUGACUUAAGAUGCUAUUAGCACAAAUGAAAUCAACAUCUCAUUGGAGCAGCAGCUGCCUAGCUGGGGUUCCUGGCAUCUGUAGUGAGGCUAUAUUCCCUUCUGGGCAGCCGUGGUGGAAAAGGAAGAAUAAAAGGGCUACUAAUCUUUUUGGCUCAG